CCUACGGGGGGCAGCAGUGAGGAAUAUUGGUCAAUGGUCGCGAGCCUGAACCAGCCAAGUCGCGUGAGGGAUGACGGUCCUAUGUAUUGUAAACCUCUUUUGUCGGGGAGCAAAAGACGCCACGCGUGGCGUUCCGAGAGUACCCGAAGAAAAAGCAUCGGCUAACUCCGUGCCAGCAGCCGCGGUAAUACGGGGGAUGCGAGCGUUAUCCGGAUUUAUUGGGUUUAAAGGGUGCGCAGGCGGAAGAUCAAGUCAGCGGUAAAAUUGAGGGGCUCAACCUCUUCGAGCCGUUGAAACUGGUUGUCUUGAGUGGGUGAGAAGUAUGCGGAAUGCGUGGUGUAGCGGUGAAAUGCAUAGAUAUCACGCAGAACUCCGAUUGCGAAGGCAGCAUACCGGCGCUCAACUGACGCUCAUGCACGAAAGUGUGGGUAUCGAACAGGAUUAGAUACCCUUGUAGUC
rnacentral:rRNA from 1 species